rnacentral:rRNA from 1 species
AGGACGAACGCUGGCGGCGUGCUUAACACAUGCAAGUCGAGCGGUAAGGCCUUUCGGGGUACACGAGCGGCGAACGGGUGAGUAACACGUGGGUGAUCUGCCCUGCACUCUGGGAUAAGCCUGGGAAACUGGGUCUAAUACCGGAUAUGACCUGCUCUCGCAUGGGGGUGGGUGGAAAGAUUUAUCGGUGCAGGAUGGGCCCGCGGCCUAUCAGCUUGUUGGUGGGGUAAUGGCCUACCAAGGCGACGACGGGUAGCCGACCUGAGAGGGUGACCGGCCACGACUGGGACUGAGACACGGCCCAGACUCCUACGGGAGGCAGCAGUGGGAAUAUGCACAAUGGGCGAAAGCCUGAUGCAGCGACGCCGCGUGAGGGAUGAAGGCCUUCGGGGUUGUAAACCGUCUUUCAGCAAGGGACGAAGCGAGAGUGACGGUACCUGCAGAAGAAGCACCGGCUAACACGUGCCAGCAGCCGC